UAUCUACCCUUCGGAUCGGGAUAACCUGCUGAAAAGUGGGCUAAUACCGGAUAAUGUUCUUGUGGGGAUCCCAUGGGAACCAAAGGGGGCGAGCGUAAGCAGCUUUCACCGAAGGAGGAGCCUGCGUCCGAUUAGCUAGUUGGUGGGGUAACGGCCUACCAAGGCGACGAUCGGUAGCCGGCCUGAGAGGGCGACCGGCCACACUGGAACUGAGACACGGUCCAGACUCCUACGGGAGGCAGCAGUGGGGAAUAUUGCGCAAUGGGCGAAAGCCUGACGCAGCGACGCCGUGUGGGUGAUGAAGGCCUUCAGGUCGUAAAGCCCUGUCGGGUGGAACGAAUUACUUGGCGGCGAAUAACCGCUAGGUUUGACGGUACCACCGAAGGAAGCCCCGGCUA
rnacentral:rRNA from 1 species